rnacentral:rRNA from 1 species
AUACGUAGGGAGCAAGCGUUGUCCGGAUUUACUGGGUGUAAAGGGCGCGUAGGCGGACUUGUUAGUCAGAGGUGAAAUCCUGCGGCUUAACCGUAGAACUGCCUUUGAUACUGCAAGUCUUGAGUUCGGAAGAGAGAGAUGGAAUUCCAGGUGUAGUGGUGAAAUACGUAGAUAUCUGGAAGAACACCAGUGGCGAAGGCGGUCUCUUGGUCCGUAACUGACGCUGAGGCGCGAAAGCGUGGGGAGCAAACAGGAUUAGAAACCCUAGUAGUCC